GAGCAAAGGCGUCAAAUCCUUUGUAAAAUGGCGUGAUUUGCAUUGAAGGUUGGCAACAACAUUAAACGAUUCUCCGUGCCCAUCAAAUUUCGUUUUUUCGUUUUGAUCGUGACCUCGAACAAGUCGCAAUAUC